UACGUAGGGUGCAAGCGUUGUUCGGAAUUAUUGGGCGUAAAGGGAGUGUAGGCGGUUUGUUAAGUCUUCUGUGAAAUCUACGGGCUUAUCCUGUAACGUGCAGAGGAAACUGGCGAGCUUGAGUGUCGGAGAGGAUAGGGGAAUUCCCGGUGUAGAGGUGAAAUUCGUAGAGAUCGGGAGGAACACCAGUGGCGAAGGCGCCUAUCUGGCUGACAACUGACGCUGAGACUCGAAAGCAUGGGGAGCAAACAGG
rnacentral:rRNA from 1 species